rnacentral:rRNA from 1 species
AUUGGACUUUGCAGGGGGCCAACCUUGCAUGCAGCGCAUGCUCGCGUGUAUGAAGAAGGCCUUCGGGUUGUCAAGUACUUUCAGCGGCUUUGAAGGGAGUAAAGUUAAUACCUUUGCUCAUUGACGUUACCCGCAGAAGAAGCACCGGCUAACUCCGUGCCACCAGCCGCGGUAAUCCAGAGGGUGCAAGCGUUAAUCGGAAUUACUGGGCGUAAAGCGCACGCAGGCGGUUUGUUAAGUCAGAUGUGAAAUCCCCGGGCUCAACCUGGGAACUGCAUCUGAUACUGGCAAGCUUGAGUCUCGUAGAGGGGGGUAGAAUUCCAGGUGUAGCGGUGAAAUGCGUAGAGAUCUGGAGGAAUACCGGUGGCGAAGGCGGCCCCCUGGACAAAGACUGACGCUCAGGUGCGAAAGCGUGGGGAGCAAACAGGAUUAGAUACCCUGGUAGUCCACGCCGUAAACGAUGUCGACUUGGAGGUUGUGCCCUUGAGGCGUGGCUUCCGGAGCUAACGCGUUAAGUCGACCGCCUGGGGAGU